rnacentral:antisense_RNA from 1 species
AUUCGGAAUAUAACUAACUAACUAACUUCCUUCCUUCCUUCCUUCCUUCCUCCCUCCCUCCCUCCCUGCCUUCCCUUCCUUCCUGCCUUCCUUCUUCCUUCCUCCCUUUUUUCUUUUCUCCCUUCCUUCCUUCUUAAUAUGUUUUUGGCCUUUUCUUUAUAUAUGUGGCCUAGCAAUAUCCUGUGUUUGGAAAAGUAUAAACCUAAGGCAUCACCUUUACAGAAAAUAUCUUCCACGGAAACAUCUAAAGUGAGGAGGUAAAGUUGCAUUCACAGGCCUUGAACUUUUCCACAUCUCGAUUUUUACCCAUCAUCUCUGAAUAGUUCCCUAAGGCAGCCUUCAAAUGGUGAUGUUUCUUAUAAUCCAGAGUUCAGAAGUGGCUUCUCUUCAAUCUUUCUGUGGAAUUCUAAACCAUGUGAUAAAGGAGCUGGUGGCUGGAGUGCAGUGAUGUGAUCUCGGCUCACUGCAACCCCUGCUUCCUGGAUUCAAGCAAUUUUCCUGCCUCACCCUCCCAAGUAGCUGGGAUUACAGUACCUGUCUCCUCCCAUAGUUAGGUGCCAAGCACUGUGGAUUCUGCCCCUCAGUGUCCAGACACCCAUUUUCCUUCCCACUGUUCCUUCCCCAUGGAGAAGCCUGUGGCUGGCUGACAGCAGAGAGAGAUGCUCAACUUGGAGAAGGUGUUACCUGGGCCAGGUGGGGAAGGUUUGUUUGCAGAGCAAAGAAGUGAAGGAAGUAUUAACCCUUUGCAUGGCCUCCUGAGAAUCCGACAAGACGUAAAUAGCCAAGAAUAUCUGUGGAACUUAAUCACUGAGUUACAGUAUUUAUCACUGCAAGUGUGUUGUUCAUUGACACUAUAAAGCCAUGUGGAAUUAAGCAGCCUUGAAACACAAAAUGGA